rnacentral:rRNA from 1 species
ACACUGACGACAUGGUUCUACACAGGUGGUAAACUCCAUCUAAAGCUAAAUAUGUCCCCGAGUCCGAUAGCAAACAAGUACCGUGAGGGAAAGUUGAAACAGAACUUUUGAAGAGAGUUAAAUAGUACGUGAAACCGUCGCGGGCUUAUAAAGCGAAUGGACGUUCAUGAUACGAAAAGAGUCUUUAGCCCUCGUCUGUUCACUUCGGUGUCUGAUCU